rnacentral:lncRNA from 1 species
AUGUACCAGAGUCCGCAGUGUCUGCCAUUCGGGUGGGGGACAGAGAUGGGCCUGGAGGUCCUGAAGACUCUGGCCUGGGAGGAGGAGAGAGUCCGAGGAGAGAGAGACAAUGUUCUGAAGGUAGGGAAGGAUGGGGGGAGAAGGGAAGUUGCUCUGGAGAUGUGAAGAUUUAUGGUCUCAUUCCAUUUCUUGCCCCCUCUCCCCCAGGUGUUUGAUAUUCCUGCCAGUGUUUUCCACAGCAUUAAGAUGUCCUCCUACUCCUCUGCCAUGAAGAGACUCAAGAACUUCCAUCGUUAUCUAAAAGGUUAGUAGAUGUUCAUCGUAAAGUUUCUCUGGUGUCAUAAGCAGAGCAUUCAGGGCUCUUAAGAUUUUGUCUCUGUCUGUGUUAUCCUGUAGUUGACAGGCCGCUGACGUUUUCCGCCCAUCUGAAAAACAAAGACCGGAGGAUUCCUAUGCUGGGUCUGCAGUUCCUGGUUCAGUACAGCGUUACUAGGGCCGGGCCCUCGUCUCCAGGCUGGGGCUUCCUGUGUUUGCUGUGUGAGAGGAAGUUGUCAGACGGACUCAGCAUCGCUCACAUACACAGCUAUGAACACAUCACCACGUUCCUGGUAAAUAUACACACACAGAUUUACCCAUUUGUUGCUCCAACACAACAACAAAAAAGCCUAUUACAGCCCUCUUAUACAAGUCUGUGUGUGUAGGAGCGUGCCCAUCCAGGCUCUGUGAAAGAGGUAGAGGAGUCUGAUGAGAGGAGGAGCGAAAUACUGCUGGACCUGGCACAACAGGCUGAGAAAAUACAUGCCAUGGGGCGUCUACAGGUAUCACACACACACACUCCACCAGACGUGUCCAGGUAAAACACUCCAAACCACCACAAAAAACCUGCAGUUAUACCCUGUAGUGAUGCAUUGUCCUCAUCCCUCUUCCCUCACUCUCUCAUUCUCCCUCUAUCCCUUUAUAAGUUCAUGAUGUUGCAACGCUACAUCGGGGAGUCAGUCAUCUACGAGAGAGCCUUAGUGAUCUUGAAGGCGAUCAAGAAGAGAGGGAACAUGGGAGAACUGAUGCCCCUGCUACCACCUGGCAAGAAACUGGUUCCCUCCAGUUCGAUCAGAGACCAGAGCCAGGCUACCCUAGAACCUGCCCCUACAUCUGUAGGAGAGGAGAAACAGACCAGGAAAGAGACUGACAAAGACAAUGAGACCGAGAUGGACAGAGAGGCCACCCCAGAAACCAUUCAAAUGAUCCAGGAGACUGGGGUGGAAGUGGACAAACGCAUUGGCAAAGAAACCUGCAGUGACCCCAGUACAAACACUGGCAGAGAGACUAAGAGAAAGACCAGUAAAGGCACUGGCGUAGAGACCAGUAAAGGCACUGGCGUAGAGACCAGUAAAGGCACUGGCGGAGAGACCAGUAAAGGCACUGGCGGAGAGACCAGUAAAGGCACUGGCGGAGAGACCAGUAAAGGCACUGGCGGAGUCACAAUAAUAAAAGCUAGUCAGGAAACCAGAAAGGACAGCAGGAGCAGAGGGAAAGAUAAGGAGGCAGAAAAGAUAAUCAAGGAGAAAGAGAUGGAGACUGACAAAAAAGAGACCAGUACAGAGACUGUCAAAAAGUUAGGGAGUAAGACUAGAAACAUGACAGUCCAUGAGACCAGUAAAGGCACUGGCGGAGAGACCAGUAAAGGCACUGGCGGAGAGACCAGUAAAGGCACUGGCGGAGAGACCAGUAAAGGCACUGGCGGAGAGACCAGUAAAGGCACUGGCGGAGAGACCAGUAAAGGCACUGGCGGAGAAACCAGUAAAGGCACUGGCGGAGUCACAAUAACAAAAGCUAGUCAGGAAACCAGAAAGGACAGCAGGAGCAGAGGGAAAGAUAAGGAGGCAGAAAAGAUAAUCAAGGAGAAAGAGAUGGAGACUGACAAAAAAGACACCAGUACAGAGACUGUCAAAAAGUUAGGGAGUAAGACUAGAAACAUGACAGUCCAUGAGACCAGCAAAGACACUGGGAAAACGACCAGUACAGAGAAUGUUAAGGAGAAUGAGAGAGAGACUAGCACAGACAUGGAGAGACAGACCUGUAGAGCUGUUAGUAUAGUGGCCAGUAGAGCCAGCAAUAGAGAGACCAAAAGAAAGCAUGGUAAAAAGCCUGAGACUUGUAAAACACCUGAAAAGAAGACCAAUACUCAGACUGUGAAAGAAAAAACUAAAGGUGUGUUCAUGUUUUGA